AAACUAAAGUAAAGUGAAACCGCAAAAGGCUCAUUAUAUCAGUUAUGGUUCCUUAGAUCGUAUCCACAAUUACUUGGAUAACUGUGGUAAUUCUAGAGCUAAUACAUGCAUUUAAAGAGAAACCAGUAAAAUGGGAUCUCUGCUUUUAUUAGAUUUAAACCAAUGGUGAAUGUUUCGGCAUUCUCAAUUAAAAUGGUUGAACUCUGGAUAACUUGUUGAUCGCAUGGUCUUCGCACCGGCGACGAAUCUUUCAAAUGUCUGCCCUAUCAACUAUUGAAGGUAGUGUCUUGGACUACCUUGGUUACAACGGGUAACGGGGAAUCAGGGUUCGAUUCCGGAGAGGGAGCCUGAGAAACGGCUACCACAUCUAAGGAAGGCAGCAGGCGCGUAAAUUACCCACUCCCGGCACGGGGAGGUAGUGACGAAAAAUAACAAUACAAGACUCACAUCCGAGGCCUUGUAAUUGGAAUGAGUACACUUUAAAUCCUUACACGAAGGUCAAUUGGAGGGCAAGCCUGGUGCCAGCAGCCGCGGUAAUUCCAGCUCCAAUAGCGUAUAUUAAAGUUGUUGCGGUUAAAACGUUCGUAGUUGAACUUGUGUUUCGCACGGGCAGUGCCAAGGACUAGUUUGCUAGGACGGUACGUUGUCUUAUCUUUCCAUAUUUUUCAUCGGAUUUGGAAAAAGUGCGUAAACGUAUUAUCGGCGUGUUCGUUUUCGUUUCAUUACGAUGGCGUUCACAUAAGCCCAUUUCAGUGCUCUUUGCCGAGUGAUGUUGUGGGCCGAUACAAAUUACUUUGAACAAAUUAGAGUGCUUAAAGCAGGCUUUCAAUGCCUGAAUAUUUUGUGCAUGGAAUAAUGGAAUAGGACAUCUGUUCUACUUUCAUUGGUUUUUUAGACCAAGAUGUAAUGAUUAAUGGAAGCAGUUGGGGGCAUUAGUAUUACAACGCGAGAGGUGAAAUUCUUAGACCGUUGUAAGACUGACUAAAGCGAAAGCAUUUGCCAAAGAUGUUUUCAUUUAAUCAAGAACGAAAGUUA
rnacentral:rRNA from 1 species